rnacentral:lncRNA from 1 species
CACAGUAGCCUAAGAUGGAGAAGCCCACAGUAGAGAAGCCUAGCACGUGAGUUCCAAAAGGAGAAGCCUGCUGGCGCGUAUGGCCCAGGAUGCAUGGACCAUCGUGCGAUCCAUUGUGCAGUCUAGGGUACACCCAUGCGUGAGGCACAUUGUGCACAUGCAGCUUAGGAGGAGGCCUCAUGUGGAGUUUGUCAUGGUCCACAUGUUGUUUUGCAUGAUGGGCGGC